rnacentral:lncRNA from 1 species
UAUACCCCUCAACUAACGGAAAUCCUCAAAUCAACACAAAUUACCCAAUUUUUUAAAAAUAACCCACCACCCCAAUAUAAUCCAAACCCUAACCCGACCCAACUAACUUAAUUCAAACCUACUUCACCUUAAUCUCUAAAACAAAAGUUCAGGAACUCAAUCUUCCUCAUCGUUGUCCCCCGCCGCCGUCUCCUCUGGGUCAACAAUGAAGAACCCAAAGCUUCU